rnacentral:rRNA from 1 species
UACGUAGGGUGCAAGCGUUAAUCGGAAUUACUGGGCGUAAAGCGUGCGCAGGCGGUUGUGCAAGACAGAUGUGAAAUCCCCGGGCUCAACCUGGGAACUGCAUUUGUGACUGCACGGCUAGAGUGUGUCAGAGGGGGGUAGAAUUCCACGUGUAGCAGUGAAAUGCGUAGAUAUCUGGAGGAAUACCGGUGGCGAAGGCGGCAUCCUGGACCGACAUUGACGCUGAGUGAGCGAAAGCUAGGGGAGCAAACGGG